UACGGGGGGGGCAAGCGUUGUUCGGAAUUACUGGGCGUAAAGGGCGCGUAGGCGGCCUUCUAAGUCGAACGUGAAAUCCCCGGGCUCAACCCGGGAACUGCGUCCGAUACUGGAAGGCUUGAAUCCGGGAGAGGGAUGCGGAAUUCCAGGUGUAGCGGUGAAAUGCGUAGAUAUCUGGAGGAACACCGGUGGCGAAGGCGGCAUCCUGGACCGGCAUUGACGCUGAAGCGCGAAAGCCAGGGGAGCAAACGGG
rnacentral:rRNA from 1 species